rnacentral:rRNA from 1 species
AACGAACGCUGGCGGCAGGCCUAACACAUGCAAGUCGAGCGCCUCAGCAAUGGGGAGCGGCAGACGGGUGAGUAACGCGUGGGAACCUUCCCAAUGGUACGGAAUAACGCGCCGAAAGGCGCGCUAAUACCGUAUACGCCCGAGAGGGGAAAGAUUUAUCGCCAUUGGAUGGGCCCGCGUCGGAUUAGCUAGUUGGUAGGGUAAUGGCCUACCAAGGCGACGAUCCGUAGCUGGUCUGAGAGGAUGAUCAGCCACACUGGGACUGAGACACGGCCCAGACUCCUACGGGAGGCAGCAGUGGGGAAUAUUGGACAAUGGGCGCAAGCCUGAUCCAGCCAUGCCGCGUGAGUGAAGAAGGCCUUCGGGUUGUAAAGCUCUUUUGGCGGGGACGAUAAUGACGGUACCCGCAGAAUAAGCUCCGGCUAACUUCGUG